UGGCUCAGUUGGUAGAGCAUGGGGCAUGUAACGCCAGGGUUGUGGGUUUGAUUCCCAC
rnacentral:tRNA from 1 species